rnacentral:tRNA from 1 species
GCCUUUGUGGUGUAAUGAUAGCACACUUGAUGUGUAUUUGAGAGGUCCAGGUUCAAGUCCUGAUGAGAGCA